rnacentral:rRNA from 1 species
CCUACGGGUGGCAGCAGUGAGGAAUAUUGGUCAAUGGGCGUAAGCCUGAACCAGCCAAGUCGCGUGAGGGAUGAAGGUUCUAUGGAUCGUAAACCUCUUUUAUAAGGGAAUAAAGUGUGGGACGUGUCCUGUUUUGUAUGUACCUUAUGAAUAAGGAUCGGCUGACUCCGUGCCAGCAGCCGCGGUAAUACGGAGGAUCCGAGCGUUAUCCGGAUUUAUUGGGUUUAAAGGGUGCGUAGGCUGCCUUUUAAGUCAGCGGUGAAAGUCUGUGGCUCAACCAUAGAAUUGCCGUUGAAACUGGGAGGCUUGAGUAUGUUUGAGGCAGGCGGAAUGCGUGGUGUAGUGGUGAAAUGCGUAGAUAUCACGCAGAACCCCGAUUGCGAAGGCAGCCUGCCAAGCCAUGACUGACGCUGAUGCACGAAAGCGUGGGGAUCAAACAGGAUUAGAUACCCCUGUAGUC